GGUUAAACUAAAAUGAUCCCAUUAGGGUCGAGCUCUAAUCCAAUAUUACUGGUGUCCUUACAAGACGAGAAAGAGACACUAAGGACUCCUAUACACAGAAAGAUAAUCCUGUAAAGAAGCAACAAGAGGACCAUCUCCUGCAAACCAAGGAGAGAGAGGCCUCACAGGCAACUAACCUUGCGAGCACCUUGAUCGUUGACUUCUAGCCUCCAGAUCUGUGACAAAACAAAUUUCUGUAGUUUAAGCUUCCCAGUCUGUGGUACAGUGGUUCCUCUAACAUCUGUGGGGGGGUGGUUCCAGAACCUUCCACGAGUACCAAAAUCUGUAGAUGCUCAAGUCGCUGAUAUAAAAGAUGAAGUAUUGUCAUAUAACCUAUGCACAUCCUCCUGUAUCCUUUAAGCAAUCUCUAGAUUACUUAUAAUAGGCUGGUCUGAGUGCAGUAGUAUUUGCAACUAAUUAAUUACAACUAGUUACAGUUUUCUUUGUUCCUUCUCCAGUCCCAUUGCUGGAGAAAAUUUAAUUAACCUAAAUUUUUUAAAAUGCAAAUUUAAAAAUAGAUUACUUAUGAUAACUAAUACAAUGCAAAUGCUAUGUAGAGAGUUAUCAUACUGUAUUAUUGAGGGGAUAAUGACAAAAGUCUGCACAUGUUUAGUACAGAUGCAAUUUUUUUUCAAAAAUUUUUGAUCCAUGGUGGGUUGAAUCCAUGAAUGUGGAAUCCACAGAUAUGGACAGCUAACUGUAUUUUGUUAUGGCAAACAAUGUGUAUAACUGUAUUUUGUUAUGGCAGCCCUAGCAAACUAACAUAGUAUUGAGCUUAGGUAAAGCAAUUUCCAAUCCAUAGCCAUCUUGUGUAGUCUUUAAUCUUGUUCCUCCUAGACAUAAUAAAGUCAGUUGGUCAUGUAAGUAGGAAAAAAGAAAGUGCUAGCAAAAGGCAAGCAUAAAUGUAGAUGUGGAGCUUCAGAAUUAGAACACUUGUUAACCCACUCCUUUAUUUUUAAUUAUAAAAUUAAAUGCAGGUUACUUAGCCCGUCAGUUUAUCCCUACAGUGCUCAAUAAAAUUUAGGUGAAGCAUCAAGUUUAUAAAAGGAAGUGAGGUGUAGAAGUAUCCAUUUUAUUUCCACUUCUUGGCUUUCUGAAUUAUCCCCAUGGGUAUGAAAAAUAAAAUUAAAGAACUCAAUUUACUUAUUUUUCCUUUCAGCAAAGGUAAUUUAAUUGAUUUAAUUAAAUAAAUUAGUAAAAGAUCUCACUGUACAAUACAAUAUUCCAGUGGUAUGUUUCCUUUUUUUUUUUUUUUUUUUUUUUUUGAGACGCAGUCUCACUCUGUCGUCCAGGCUGGAGUGCAGUGGCGCGAUCUCGGCUCACUGCAAUCUCCGCCUUCCAGGU
rnacentral:lncRNA from 10 species